GACGAACGCUGGCGGCGUGCUUAACACAUGCAAGUCGAGCGGUAAGGCCCUUUCGGGGGUACACGAGCGGCGAACGGGUGAGUAACACGUGGGUGACCUGCCUUUAGCUCUGGGAUAAGCCUGGGAAACUGGGUCUAAUACCGGAUAUGACUCCGCGGUGCAUGCUGUGGGGUGGAAAGCCUUGUGCGGCUGGAGAUGGGCCCGCGGCCUACCAGCUUGUUGGUGGGGUGAUGGCCACCAAGGCGACGACGGGUAGCCGGCCUGAGAGGGCGACCGGCCACACUGGGACUGAGACACGGCCCAGACUCCUACGGGAGGCAGCAGGUGGGGAAUCUUGCGCAAUGGGCGAAAGCCUGACGCAGCGACGCCGCGUGAGGAUGACGGCC
rnacentral:rRNA from 1 species